rnacentral:lncRNA from 1 species
GGUUGUGGUUAGGGUUUAGGGUUGUGAUUAGGGUUUAGGGUUGUGGUCAGGGGUUUAGGGUUGUGGUUAGGGGUUGUGGUCAGGGUUUAGGGUUGUGGUUUAGGGUUGUGGUUAGGGUUUAGGGUUGUGGUUAGGGUUUAGGGUUGUGGUUAGGGUUUAGGGUUGUGAUUAGGGUUUAGGGUUGUGGUUAGGGGUUGUGGUCAGGGUUUAGGGUUGUGGUUUAGGGUUGUGGUUAGGGUUUAGGGUUGUGGUUUAGGGUUGUGGUUAGGGUUUAGGGUUGUGGUUAGGGUUUAGGGUUGUGGUUAGGGUUUAGGGUUGUGAUUAGGGUUUAGGGUUGUGAUUAGGGUUGUGGUUAGGGUUUAGGGUUGUGGUUUAGGGUUUAGGGUUGUGGUUAGGGUUUAGGCUUGUGGUUAGGGGUUGUGGUUAGGGUUUAGGCUUGUGGUUAGGGGUUGUGGUUAGGGUUGUGAUUAGGGUUUAGGCUUGUGGUUAGGGGUUGUGGUCAGGGUUUAGGGUUGUGGUCAGGGUUGUGGUCCCUGAGUACCAACCAAUCACUGAGGACCAUUAAUGCUAGUCUUCCUAUUAGUCAGAUGUGAGGAGCUGGAGCCGUCCUGCUGGUGGUGAAGGAGGAAAUGAGGGGGAGCGAGUUCCUUCCCACUCCUCCCUUCUCUGGUUUCCCUUCAGAAAGACGAGAGUCAUCAAGACCCUGUAGAGCCCUGGACACAGAGCAGUACAGAGCAGUACAGGACUACUACAGAGCAGCACAGGACUACUACAGACCAGCACAGGACUACCUACCGCAGACCCUGUAGAGCCCUGGACACAGAGCAGUACAGAGCAGCACAGGACUACUACAGAGCAGCACAGGACUACCUACCGCAGACCCUGUAGAGCCCUGGACACAGAGCAGUACAGAGCAGUACAGGACUACUACAGAGCAGCACAGGACUACUACAGACCAGCACAGCAGUACUACAGACCAGCACAGGACUACUACAGACCAGCACAGGACUACUACAGACCAGCACAGGACUACUACAGACCAGCACAGCAGUACUACAGACCAGCACAGGACUACUACAGACCAGCACAGCAGUACUACAGACCAGCACAGCAGUACUACAGACCAGCACAGGACUACUACAGACCAGCACAGGACUACCUACCGCAGACACUGUAGAGCCCUGGACACAGAGCAGUACAGAGCAGUACAGGACUACUACAGACCAGCACAGGACUACUACAGACCAGCACAGGACUACUACAGACCAGCACAGGACUACUACAGACCAGUACAGGACUACUACAGACCAGCACAGGACUACUACAGACCAGCACAGCAGUACUACAGACCAGCACAGGACUACUACAGACCAGCACAGCAGUACUACAGACCAGUACAGGACUACUACAGACCAGCACAGCAGUACUACAGACCAGUACAGGACUACUACAGACCAGCACAGGACUACCUACCGCAGACACUGUAGAGCUCUGGACACAGAGCAGUACAGACCAGCACAGGACUACUACAGACCAGCACAGGACUACUACAGACCAGCACAGCAGUUAUACAGACCAGCACAGGACUACUACAGACCAGUACAGGACUACUACAGACCAGUACAGGACUACUACAGACCAGCACAGGAGUACUACAGACCAGUACAGGACUACUACAGACCAGCACAGGACUACUACAGACCAGCACAGCAGUACUACAGACCAGUACAGGACUACUACAGACCAGCACAAUAGUACUACAGACCAGUACAGGACUACUACAGACCAGCACAGGACUACCUACCGCAGACACUGUAGAGCCCUGGACACAGAGCAGUACAGACCAGCACAGGACUACUACAGACCAGCACAGGACUACUACAGACCAGCACAGCAGUUAUACAGACCAGCACAGGACUACUACAGACCAGUACAGGACUACUACAGACCAGUACAGGACUACUACAGACCAGCACAGGACUACUACAGACCAGCACAGGACUACUACAGACCAGCACAGGACUACUACAGACCAGUACAGGACUACUACAGACCAGCGCAGGACUACUACAGACUACUACAAACCAGCACAGGACUACUACAGACCAGCACAGGACUACUACAGACUACUACAGACCAGUACAGGACUACUACAGACCAGCACAUUACUACCACAGACCAGUACAGACCAGUUUGGUGACCAGUGGAACCAGCAGGAUCCUUUUGAUGGGACUCCCAGAACAGAGGGCUGUGACUGGACAGUGAGUGACCCCAUGCCUCUGAGUCCGGCUGCCAACGCUAAGCAUGACCCCCCUGAUCACCCCCGGCAACCAGCCGCUACCAAUGGCAACCAGCCAGGUUCCGCCCUUGCCAGGGACGACG